rnacentral:rRNA from 1 species
CAAUAGCGUAUAUUAAAGUUGUUGCGGUUAAAAAGCUCGUAGUUGGAUUUCUGCUGAGAACGACCGGUCCGCCCUUUGGGUGUGUAUCUGGCUCUUUCUUGGCAUCUUCUUGGUGAACGUUGCUGCACUUGACUGUGUGGAGCGCUACCCAGGACUUUUACUUUGAGGAAAUUAGAGUGUUUCAAGCAGGCAUACGCCUUGAAUACAUUAGCAUGGAAUAAUAAGAUAGGACCUCGGUUCUAUUUUGUUGGUUUCUAGAGCUGAGGUAAUGAUUAAUAGGGAUAGUUGGGGGCAUUCGUAUUUAACUGUCAGAGGUGAAAUUCUUGGAUUUGUUUAAGACGGACUACUGCGAAAGCAUUUGCCAAGGAUGUUUUCAUUG